rnacentral:rRNA from 1 species
AUUGAACGCUGGCGGCAGGCCUAACACAUGCAAGUCGAGCGAGCGGCGGACGGGUGAGUAAUGUCUGGGAAACUGCCUGAUGGAGGGGGAUAACUACUGGAAACGGUAGCUAAUACCGCAUACCAUCAGAUGUGCCCAGAUGGGAUUAGCUAGUAGGUGGGGUAACGGCUCACCUAGGCGACGAUCCCUAGCUGGUCUGAGAGGAUGACCAGCGAAACUGGGACUGAGAUACGGUCCAGACUCCUACGGGAGGCAGCAGUGGGGAAUAUUGGACAAUGGGCGAAAGUUCGAUCAAGCCAUGCCGCGUGUGUGAAGAAGGCAUUAGGGUUGUAAAGCAUUUUUGGCAGGGAGGCGUUACCCGCAGAAUAAGCACCGGCUAACUCCGUGCCAGCAGCCGCGGUAAGUC